GAUGAAGAACGUAGCGAAAUGCGAUAAGUAAUGUGAAUUGCAGAAUUCAGUGAAUCAUCGAAUCUUUGAACGCACAUUGCGCCCGCCAGUAUUCUGGCGGGCAUGCCUGUUCGAGCGUCAUUUCAACCCUCAAGCCCAGCUUGGUGUUGGGGAUCGGCACAGGCGCCCUCGGGCGCCCGCCGUCCCCUAAAUCUAGUGGCGGUCCCGCUGCAGCCUCCUCUGCGUAGUAGUUUUCUCCUCGCAAGGGCAGCUCGGUGGCGACCUCGCCGUAAAACCCCCAACUUCUGAAAGGUUGACCUCGUAUCAGGUAGGAAUACCCGCUGAACUUAAGCAUAUCAAUAAGCGGAGGA
rnacentral:misc_RNA from 1 species